rnacentral:rRNA from 1 species
AGUGGGGAAUUUUGGACAAUGGGCGCAAGCCUGAUCCAGCAAUGCCGCGUGAGUGAAGAAGGCCUUCGGGUUGUAAAGCUCUUUUGUCAGGGAAGAAACGGUAGAGGCUAAUAUCCUUUGCUAAUGACGGUACCUGAAGAAUAAGCACCGGCUAACUACGUGCCAGCAGCCGCGGUAAUACGUAGGGUGCAAGCGUUAAUCGGAAUUACUGGGCGUAAAGCGUGCGCAGGCGGUUUUGUAAGUCUGACGUGAAAUCCCCGGGCUCAACCUGGGAAUUGCGUUGGAGACUGCAAGGCUAGAAUCUGGCAGAGGGGGGUAGAAUUCCACGUGUAGCAGUGAAAUGCGUAGAGAUGUGGAGGAACACCGAUGGCGAAGGCAGCCCCCUGGGUCAAGAUUGACGCUCAUGCACGAAAGCGUGGGGAGCAAA